CCCAUGUGGUAGUCUAGGUCAGAGAAAAGGAGGUAGUUUGAACGGAUCACCCUUCCCCUGACCCAUUCCUAUAUAUCCAGUGCAUGGUAAUCUGCUUCCUCAAGUUGGACUAUGGCUUUGCAGUCACUGCUGCUAUGGUUACAGGCUGACUUCACUGGCUAGGAAUUACACGACUGUGGAGUCUCUUGAGUCUUAGAGGCAUUUAAGGGCAAUUGCUUUGAAAGACGGAGCUACUACAUCAAGUGACGGUGUGGGAAUCCUUUCAGCACUACCCGGGCAAAAGCUGUAGUAAGAUCCUAUUGUUGUGAGCAGCUGAUGGAGACGGAAUUGCAGAUUUCUUCAGGACACAGGUGCAAGAACCACAGCAAAUUUCAGGCCCGUAGCCAGAAAUUUUGCAGUGACUUUGCAUUCCCCACUAAGGAUGUGGGGAAUUAUUGCAGAACAGCCAGAAUGUAAAUGCAGGAUCUGCAGAAGCUCCAACCAACAGAUCCAGCUCCCAAAAAACGUCAGGAGCUGCAAUGGAACAAAAAGGAGCUGCAGAGGAACAACUAAACAACUCAGCACCCCCUAGCAUACAUAACAUAUCUUGCCACCAACACUGGAAAGAUUUACUUGUGGACUGGUCACAAUUCUUGGCUGCUACAUAUUCCAGACACAGGGGGAGGAGAGGGGAGUGGAAGGUGGGGAGGGCCAUCUUCACUGGUCCCAGGCCCACACCUACCUUACUAUGUCUUGCUGUACUUGUACAACAAUAGAAAUCAAUUGUUUUCUAACAUCUUUCAUUCAGACAACUCACUGCUUUUUCUGUUGUGUCUUAUGAUUCACAGCCCAUUCCUAUCCAUGUUUACUUAGAAGUAAUGCCUACAGACUUUAAUGUGGUUUAUUUUCAAUAAAGUAUGCACAAGA